UCUAGGUACCGACGAACGCUAUUACUACGUAAACAGACUAGUCUAUUAAAUCUUUGAUGUAUUGUUUUUUAAGUUGACAGUACAUAAUGACCAUGAUUUAUCACCUAUGGUCAUAAACAUUGCUAUAUAAAUGCAAAGACUUAACACCCAGUCACAUAAUCCAACCGACUUCCAUGAUGAAACUGGCUCUCAUUCUUUUCGCUCUUUUGGGCAUGGUGCUGGGUGCCUUCGGGCAGCUGUGCGGCUGCCAGCCCGACCCGAUGGGCCCGCUGUGCGCCAGCGAUGGCCACACCUACGACAGCGUGUGCGAGAUGAACUGCAAGACCGCGGGCAGAGGCGUUUACAAGGUCCGCGAUGGAGCUUGCCUGUGAGACGUAGACGUAGUAGAUCCUGAGAUAUUACUUCAACUAUCAUUUAUUGCCUUCUGAAAAUUUUCUUUCCUUACUUUUUGAGAUCAAUUCGCUUUUUACUACUUGUAUUAAUGUAUUUUUGAUAUUUUCUCACCUAUUUCUUUUGCACAAAUAAAAUGUUUAUCAUUUAUUUA